GACGACCGCUGGCGGCGUGCUUAACACAUGCAAGUCGAACGGAAAGGCCCUGCUUUUGUGGGGUGCUCGAGUGGCGAACGGGUGAGUAACACGUGAGUAACCUGCCCUUGACUUUGGGAUAACUUCAGGAAGCUGGGGCUAAUACCGGAUAGGAGCUCCUGCUGCAUGGUGGGGGUUGGAAAGUUUCGGCGGUUGGGGAUGGACUCGCGGCUUAUCAGCUUGUUGGUGGGGUAGUGGCUUACCAAGGCUUUGACGGGUAGCCGGCCUGAGAGGGUGACCGGCCACAUUGGGACUGAGAUACGGCCCAGACUCCUACGGGAGGCAGCAGUGGGGAAUAUUGCACAAUGGGCGGAAGCCUGAUGCAGCAACGCCGCGUGCGGGAUGACGGCCUUCGGGUUGUAAACCGCUUUCGCCUGUGACGAAGCGUGAGUGACGGUAAUGGGUAAAGAAGCACCGGCUAACUACGUG
rnacentral:rRNA from 1 species